rnacentral:rRNA from 1 species
AGAGUUUGAUCAUGGCUCAGGAUGAACGCUAGCGGCGGGCUUAAUACAUGCAAGUCGAACGGGCAGCAAUGCUAGUGGCGGACGGGUGCGUAACACGUAUGCAACCUACCUUUGGAUGGGGGACAACGGGGGGAAACUCCCGCUAAUACCGCAUGAUGCAGCGGGCUCGCAUGAGCAUAGUUGUUAAAGCCUUCGGGCGUCUAAAGAUGGGCAUGGGUCUGAUUAGGUAGUUGGCGAGGUAACGGCUCCCCAAGCCUACGAUCAGUAACUGGUCUUAGCGGAUGAUCAGUCACACUGGCACUGAGACACGGGCCAGACUCCUACGGGAGGCAGCAGUAGGGAAUAUUGGGCAAUGGGCGCAAGCCUGACCCAGCCACGCCGCGUGCGGGAUGAAGGUCCAUAGGAUUGUAAACCGCUUUGGCAGGGGAAUAAUGCACUUGUAACUCAAGUGUUUGCAGGUACCCUGAGAACAAGCACCGGCAAACUACGUGCCAGCCGCCGCGGUAAUAC